rnacentral:rRNA from 1 species
GGACCUGACUGCUAUCGGAUUGAUACUAAGCCAUGCGAGUCAUUGUAGUAAUACAAGGCAGACGGCUCAGUAACGCGUAGUCAACCUACCCUAUGGACGGGAAUAACCUCGGGAAACUGAGAAUAAUGCCCGAUAGAACAUUAUACCUGGAAUGGUUUAUGUUCCAAAUGAUUUAUCGCCGUAGGAUGGGACUGCGGCCUAUCAGUUUGUUGGUGAGGUAAUGGCCCACCAAGACUAUUACAGGUACGGGCUCUGAGAGGAGUGGCCCGGAGAUGGGUACUGAGACACGGACCCAGGCCCCAUGGGGCGCAGCAGGCGAGAAAACUUUGCAAUGUGCGAAAGCACGACAAGGUUAAUCCGAGUGGUUUCUGCUAAAGAGACCUUUUGUCGGUCCUAGAAACACCGAUGAAUAAGGGGUGGGCAAGUUCUGGUGUCAGCAGG